GCCCUUAUAGCUCAGUGGUAGAGCGUUGCACUUGUAAUGCAAAGGUCCAUUGUUCAAUCCAGUGUGGGGGCA
rnacentral:tRNA from 4 species